rnacentral:rRNA from 1 species
UGGGGAAUAUUACACAAUGGGCGCAAGCCUGAUGCAGCCAUGCCGCGUGUGUGAAGAAGGCCUUCGGGUUGUAAAGCACUUUCAGCGGGGAGGAAGGCGAUAAGGUUAAUAACCUUGUCGAUUGACGUUACCCGCAGAAGAAGCACCGGCUAACUCCGUGCCAGCAGCCGCGGUAAUACGGAGGGUGCAAGCGUUAAUCGGAAUUACUGGGCGUAAAGCGCACGCAGGCGGUCUGUCAAGUCGGAUGUGAAAUCCCCGGGCUCAACCUGGGAACUGCAUUCGAAACUGGCAGGCUAGAGUCUUGUAGAGGGGGGUAGAAUUCCAGGUGUAGCGGUGAAAUGCGUAGAGAUCUGGAGGAAUACCGGUGGCGAAGGCGGCCCCCUGGACAAAGACUGACGCUCAGGUGCGAAAGCGGGGGGAGCAAACAGG